ensembl:lncRNA CDRT15P3 CDRT15 pseudogene 3
GUCACCUGGGCUGGGAGGGCGGCUUAGGGGCGGAAGCGGCGGUCCAGGGCCGCCUGGUGCAGCAGCCUGUCUCAGCCGCGGUCCCUCCAGUCCCUCCCUGGCGGCUGCGGAGCCGUCCGAGGACAGGGGCCAUAAACUCUCCAGAGCGGGAAGCCGCACGCUGGUGGCCCGGCCCCGCGCACAGACCUGGCGGCAGCUGGCACCUGACCCGCUGCAUGGGUCUCCAGGGAGCUCGCUGCCCACCCGGCGCUGCAGCCUCGGCUCCCUCGUACGCGCUCUGGUGGAGAUGACUGUGUGUGCGCACACCUGGGGGUGAAGAGGACGCAGCCUGUCUACCUGACCCAUGAAAUGGAGGAGACUGUACCCCAGAAGCAGCGGGUUCACUGCUCCAUUGAUUAAGCAAGUCUGGGACACACAUGUAGCUAAGCUGUGACUUCUGUGCCAGCGGUCCCAACACCCACGCCUUCAGGAAGACACAUGUGUGAGGGGUUGCAUGUUUGUCAGGCCUGAGAGUGGAGAGCAGGGGCCAGAGACACUAGCUCCUGCUUCAGGUGCAGAAAUACAGCGAUUUCCAGUGCCAGCUGUUGAGCCAGUGCCAGCACCAGGGGCAGAUUCCCCUCCAGGGACAGCGCUGGAGCUAGAGGAAGCUCCAGAGCCCUCCUGCCGCUGCCCUGGGACUGCUCAGGACCAGCCCAGUGAGGAGCUGCCUGACUUCAUGGCACCUCCUGUAGAGCCACCGGCCUCAGCCCUGGAGCUGAAAGUGUGGCUGGAGCUAGAGGUGGCAGAGAGGGGUGGCCAGCACAGCUCCAGCCAGCAGCUCCCACACUGCUCCCAGUCCUGGGCACAGUGGAAGCUAUGGAGGCAGAGACCAGGGUUUGCAAUCUGGGCUCCUCUGCCUCACUGGAGAGGGACUUCUCUCAUUCAGCAGAGCAGCAGCCCUGCUGCUGAAGGGCCUGCUGCUACUGCUGCUGGGGCUGUUUGCCUGCCUGCAGGAGGUGCUGGAGAGCAAGAAAAGGAGCCUGUGAGCAGGGGUUCCAGCAGGUCCUCCUGCUCCCAGAGGCGACCUCCUCCUCCAGGCAUGGAGGUUUGCCCUCAGCUGGGCAUCUGGGCCAUUUGCCCCUAAUGUGCUGCCCAGGAUGGCCUCUUCUUGACAGGCGGACAGGGGGUGAGGGGGCCAGGGGGCAUCUCCAAAGGAAGCUUUUAAACUCAGCAGCUGCACCCCAGAAUCUGUAUGCCUGCACCUGCCCAAGGAUUUAUUCAUAGCUUACCUAAGAAUUUCAAAUUUCUACCAUAACACUGAAAUGAAGUUUGACUUUUUGAAACUUC